UUGUCGCAAGGUGAUGGAGUUCACCUUUAACUGCCUUCGAGGCUGAUGACUCCUGUUUCGCC
rnacentral:ncRNA from 2 species